AGUAAGUCGACUACAUUAUUAUUUAAAACCAUUUAAUUGUCUAAAACUAUUUAAGUUAUUGUAACCGAUCCUCACCCAGUUAUUGUAACCGAUCCUCACCCAUCUUCACCAGUGAAUCAUGGAAAGCGAAACAAACAAGCAAGCAAACACGGCAAGCUACUCACUGACCCAUGCACGCGGACGCCACCAUUAGUCCAUUACGUACCAUGCGUCCGUGCCUCGCCGGCUCGAAAGAAGCGGGCAAGCAUUGGACCCCUCCUCAC
rnacentral:lncRNA from 1 species